AUACAAAUUGAAUCAAAUAAUGUGUCCCUUUAUGUCUGUCUUCUCUUACUCAGCAUAAUGUUUUCAAGGUUAUUCCAUGUUGUAGCAUGUAUCAGUACUUUAUUCUUUUAAUGGCUGAAUAGUAUUCCAUUGUGUGUUAAUUCUUUAAAUGUUUGGUAGAAUUCACAAGUGAAGCCAUUUGUGCUUAGCUUUUUCUGUUUUCAUGGGAAGUUUUUUGAUUACUAAUUCAGUCUCUUUACUUGUUAUAGUUUUAUUUAUACUUUAUGUUUCUUCUUGAGUUACUUUCAGUAGUUUGUGUCUUUCUAAGAAUUUAUAAAUUUUGUGUAGGUUAUUUAACUCAUUGGCAAACAAUUAUUUAUAGUAGUCUCUUAUAAUCACCUUAUUUCUGUGAAGUCAAUAGUGUUAUUCCCUGUACAUUUCUGAUUUUAUCAAUUUUAGUGUUCUCUUUUUUUCUUGAUCUUCCUCUCAGAAGCUAAAGCCUUGUCCCCUAGUGGGAGGGUUUAGGGAGGGCCCUGAGGUUUCCUGCGGCAGUGGGCUCCUUUCCAGCCUUGCAUCAUGGGGGACACUUUCCCUUACCUGCUGCCCUAGCCCCUCAUCUCUUUUGUGAGCAAUCGGUGAAGUCUGCAGAAAAUACCCUGGGAGUCAGUACAAGCUCUCCUGUACCUGCAGCUUCUGCAGUCACCUAUAUGCACCAAAACUCUUAGCAGAAAUCUUCUU
rnacentral:lncRNA from 1 species